UCUCUAAUGGAAACUAAUGCACUACGUGA
rnacentral:sRNA from 1 species